rnacentral:rRNA from 1 species
UACGUAGGUGGCGAGCGUUGUCCGGAAUUACUGGGUGUAAAGCGCGUGUAGGCGGGAGGCCAAGUCUGUGGUGAAAUCGCCUGGCUUAACUGGGCGGGGUCCAUGGAAACUGGUCACCUGGAGGUCGGUAGAGGCAAGUGGAAUUCCCGGUGUAGUGGUGAAAUGCGUAGAGAUCGGGAGGAACACCAGUGGCGAAGGCGGCCUUCUGGACAGUGACUGACGCUGAGACGCGAAAGCGUGGGGAGCAAACAGGG